rnacentral:SRP_RNA from 1 species
GCCGGGCGUGGUGGUGGGUGCCUGUAAUCCCAGCUACCUGGGAGGCUGAGGCAGGAGAAUCGCUUGAACCCAGGAGGUGGAGCUUGCAGUGAGACGAGAUCACACCACUGCACUCCAGCCUGGGCGACAGAGUGAGACUCUGUCUCAA